UUAUUAAUUCAUAAUCAUAGUAGAAUCAAUGGUGCAGAGUC
rnacentral:tRNA from 1 species